rnacentral:sRNA from 1 species
AGAAAAGUAGGUGCCGCCCCGCACAGGGGCGACGCCAAUAGACCACAAGAAAAACAGGUUCAACAGAGAGACGCGGAUAACCACCUAAACAAAGCCAUCC